UUGUAAUAAUCCAGCAUCAUCCUGAAUGAUAACACUGAAUUAUUCAGGAGGCUCCUUAAAAGGGGGGUUAAAUCAAGGCUGAAACAAAAGAGGAGCGAGGCCAUUGUGAGGCCUGGCUCUUCCCACUGCGGAAUCCGGGCAGGAGAAGGGAAGCAGGGCCGGGAAAAGUCCUUCCAGAGUCACCCAGAGGAGCAGAAUGGACUCGGUGGCGUGGCAGGGCAGAGCUAUCCAGAAGGGUUUGAUAUCUGACCAGGAGCCACCAUCCCAAGUGCUGGAAUGCAAGAUCCAUGCCAGGGCUGGAGUUUCCCUGGAUUUUCUCCAGGGAGGACCCUGCUGCUGCCUCAGGGGACACAGGAUGGUGACAGGCAUGGUGACAGUGGUGCUUCCCAAACCUCCCUUCCCGGGUGAGGGAUAAAGCCGGGAUUUGUUUUAUCCUCACCCAGCUGUGCUUAAGCUCAUCCAGGCUGCAGAGGAGGAGCUUUUCCUCAGAGGGAAUCAAUCCCAGAAUCUCCUGAGCUGGAAGAGACCACAAAGAUCACUGAGUUAAACUCCCAGGACACCCCAAAAAUCCCACCUGAGAGCCUUUUCCAAGCACCACCAGCCCCUCUGCCUGCAGCGUGACAGCCUUGGGCUGCCUAAACAAACAGCUUUAGGACAACAUUUUACCUGGGAGAGUUUCUUUUUCCCUUCCCUUUGUAAUUCCACCCAGGACAGCAGCACCUCCAAACCCAUCCCUUCCCCUCCUAAACCUCUCCUUUAACCAUUUGUUAAAGACUUUUCCCCUCCACAUUGCCUUUUUUUUUAUUUUAAAAUAUCUUUUUUUUAAGCCUAGAGCAGCUAACAAAACCAAAGCAAGGCGGGGAGCGUGAGAAGAGCCUGAUGAAAUAUUGAAGAUUUGAAGAUGAUAUCUUUAUUUUAUUUAUUUUCCGUUGGGUUUGUUGGCGGAUUUUGCGCGGGAUGAGCCCGGAGGAGGUCACCCAGCGCUCUGGGGUGGCUCCAUAUUGCAGGGAGCUGUGCUGGCUUCGGAGCCAGCUGGGCCACCAGCCCCAGGCCUUUGUGGCCCGGCUUUGUGGCCCCGCCGAGCGCGCACAAAGUCGAUGGUGGGGCGGCUUUGUUCCCUCCCCGCGGAAAAACAACAACAAAAAUAACCCCCAAAAAAAGCGCCGGGCAUUGACAAGGUGAUGAAUUCCUUCACUGCUGCGCCUCAUAAUGGACUCGAGCGCUGCUGCCCUGGCUCGGAGCGGGGAAAAAACAAAAAAACCAACAAAACCGAGCUCGUCUCCCACUGCUUCGCUCCUUGGAACCUGAUUUUUUCCCACUAACUGCUCCCUGAUUUAUGGAGCCUCUCCUGCGCCGGGCGGCCGUGGCUCCGGGCGUUUGGCAUUCGCUGACAUUUCGCUGCAGCAACUGUGAAAGGGCAAAUUUUCCUGGAAACAGAGCUGCAGAGGGAAAGCAGCCGGAGCUGCCUGCCCUCCCCUCGCCCCGAGCCGGGCAGGGACCUGGAGCAUCUCUGAGAGAGGCUGGAGCUCCCCAGGCUCCCUUUUCCAUCCAGGAUAUCCCAAAUCCUGCCCUCCCUGCCCCUCCCUGGAGUUUCCGUGCUCAGGGAAGGACUCACCAAGCACGGGUUAUUUUCUCUUUUUUUUUUCCCCAGAAUAUCUUGAUGGAUGGGGAUUUUUGGGAUGAGUUUCCCUCCCCUCCUCCUCUCCAGCAGGGUGUCCUGCUGCCUUGACCCCUUUAUCCUGUCCCGCUGUUCACCUUGGGAAGGGAAGCAAACAAAGCCUGGCAGGGAUGAACCUUCCUGCCCGAGCUCUAAAUCAGCCCCGGGGCAGCUCCAGGCCAAAGGCAGCCAGGAGCCCCCGAUCCCAGAUGGAAAAUCCAGGCUUUUCCUGCAUCUGGAACCCCUCUGGAGCAUCUUUUGACUGCAGGCAUUUCUUGGGAGAGCAGGAGAGCUUUCCAGGGAAGCUGGCAUGCAAGGCUUGGUAAUAAGAAUAAAUGAGAGCACUUUGGUGAGCUCCUUCAGAGCUGCUGGCUCCUUCCCUCUCCCUGAUUCGGGGAAGAUUGAGUUUUCAGGGCGAGCCUGCUGCUGCUGAGCCUCAUUUCAGCAGAGCUUUUUCCAGUGUGGAAUGGUUUUAAUCCAGGUUUCGGCUCCUGGAGUCAAGUGAUGUCAGCAGAAAA